GGAGCUUGCUCCUCUGACGUUAGCGGCGGACGGGUGAGUAACACGUGGAUAACCUACCUAUAAGACUGGGAUAACUUCGGGAAACCGGAGCUAAUACCGGAUAAUAUAUUGAACCGCAUGGUUCAAUAGUGAAAGACGGUUUUGCUGUCACUUAUAGAUGGAUCCGCGCCGCAUUAGCUAGUUGGUAAGGUAACGGCUUACCAAGGCAACGAUGCGUAGCCGACCUGAGAGGGUGAUCGGCCACACUGGAACUGAGACACGGUCCAGACUCCUACGGGAGGCAGCAGUAGGGAAUCUUCCGCAAUGGGCGAAAGCCUGACGGAGCAACGCCGCGUGAGUGAUGAAGGUCUUCGGAUCGUAAAACUCUGUUAUUAGGGAAGAACAAAUGUGUAAGUAACUAUGCACGUCUUGACGGUACCUAAUCAGAAAGCCACGGCUAACUACGUGCCAGCAGCCGCGGUAAUACGUAGGUGGCAAGCGUUAUCCGGAAUUAUUGGGCGUAAAGCGCGCGUAGGCGGUUUUUUAAGUCUGAUGUGAAAGCCCACGGCUCAACCGUGGAGGGUCAUUGGAAACUGGAAAACUUGAGUGCAGAAGAGGAAAGUGGAAUUCCAUGUGUAGCGGUGAAAUGCGCAGAGAUAUGGAGGAACACCAGUGGCGAAGGCGACUUUCUGGUCUGUAACUGACGCUGAUGUGCGAAAGCGUGGGGAUCAAACAGGAUUAGAUA
rnacentral:rRNA from 1 species